rnacentral:rRNA from 1 species
CAAGCAGCGAGCAUGUGGUUAAUCGAAGCAACGCGAAGAACCUUACCAGGUCUUGACAUCCCUACUGAAUGGCGCUUAGCGGCGCAGGUCUUUCGGGACAGAGGAGACAGGUGGUGCAUGGUUGUCGUCAGCUCGUGUCGUGAGAUGUUGGGUUAAGUCCCGCAACGAGCGCAACCCUUGCCUUUAGUUGCCAGCACGUAAAGGUGGGCACUCUAGAGGGACUGCCGGUGACAAACCGGAGGAAGGUGGGGAUGACGUCAAAUCAUCAUGCCCCUUAUGAUCUGGGCUACACACGUGCUACAAUGGCCGGUACAACGAGAAGCGAAACCGCGAGGUGAAGCAAAUCUUUUAAAGCCGGUCCCAGUUCGGAUUGCAGGCUGAAACUCGCCUGCAUGAAGCCGGAAUCGCUAGUAAUCGCGGAUCAGCAUGCCGCGGUGAAUACGUUCCCGGGCCUU